rnacentral:misc_RNA from 1 species
UGGCUCUCGCAUCGAUGAAGAACGCAGCGAAAUGCGAUAAGUAAUGUGAAUUGCAGAAUUCAGUGAAUCAUCGAAUCUUUGAACGCACCUUGCGCCCCUUGGUAUUCCGAGGGGCAUACCUGUUUGAGUGUCACCAAACUAUCAACCCCGAGUCGGUUUCAAACCUCGUCUCGGUGUCUUGGACUUUGGAGUGUGCAGGGGGUGUGUGGGGAGCUCUCCCCACAUCCUGCUCCUCUUGAAAUACAUCGGUGGUCGUCUGCGUCGCGAGACACUCCUCAGCCUGGCGUGAUAACUAUCUACGUCGUGGCGAAGGGAAGGUUCUCUCAUAUGCUCUGGGACGCUGCCUCGAACAGUCGCUCUUACGCGACAGAUGCUAUUGACAAUUUGACCUCAAAUCAGGUAGGACUACCCGCUGA